rnacentral:lncRNA from 1 species
GAAGAGGCCAAACAUAAAAUCAAAGAAAAGGAGUAUGAGGCUGACUAUAAGAAGGAAGAGCACAAGGAAAAAUUCAAAGAAGAACUAGCCGAGGCUAAGUACAAAGUAGAAAAAAUCAAGGAAAAGAUCGAGUGUGAAGUAGAAGAGGCAAAACAUAAAAUCAAAGAAAAGGAGUAUGAGGCCGACUAUAAGAAGGAAGAGCAGAAGGAAAAAUUCAAAGAAGAACUAGCCGAGGCUAAGUACAAAGUAGAAGAAAUCAAGGAAAAGAUCGAGUGUGAAGUAGAAGAGGCCAAAGAGAAAAUCAAAGAAAAGGAAUAUGAGGCUGAGUACAAGAAGGAAGAGCACAAGGAAAAACUCAAGAAAGAAGUAGAGGAGGCCAAGUACAAAAUAGAAGAAUUCAAGGAUAAUAUUGACUAUAAAGUAGAGGAGAUUAAGGAGAAAAUUGAGGAAAAAAUUGAAGAAAUCAAGGAAAAGGUCGAGUAUGAAGUAGAAGAGGCCAAAGAGAAACAUAAGGAAAAGGAAUAUGAAUCUAAGCAUAAGAAGGAAGAACGCAAGGAAAAACUUAAGGAAGAAGUAGAGGAGGCAAAGUACAAAAUAGAAGAAUUAAAGGAAAAGAUCGAGCAUAAAAUAGAAGAAGUUAAGGAGAAAAUUGAUGAGAAAGUCGAAGAAAUUGAGCACAAGGUUGAAUGUGAAGUAGAAGAAGCCAAAGAAAAACAUAAGGAAAAAAAGUAUGAAUCCGAGUACAAAAAGGAAGAACGGAAGGAAAAACUCAAAGAAGAAGUAGAGGAGGCAAAGUACAAAAUAGAAGAAUUGAAAGAAAAAGUUGAGUGUGAAGUAGAGGAGGUUAAGAAUAAAAUCGAGGAGAAAGUGAAAGAAAUUGAGGAAAAGGUUGAGUGUGAAAUAGAAGAGGCCAAAGAGAAACACAAGGAAAAAGAGUACGAGUCUGAGUACAAGAAGGAAGAGCGCAAGGAAAAACUCAAGGAGGAGAUCGAGGAGGCCAAGUACAAAAUAGAAGAAAUCAAGGAAAAGAUUGAGUGUGAAGUAGAAGAGGCCAAAGAGAAAAUCAAGGAAAAAGAAUAUGAGGUUGAGUAUAAAAAGGAAGAGCAUAAGGAAAAAAUCAAGGAAGAAGUAAAGGAGGCCAAAUACAAAAUAGAAGAAUUAAAGGAGAAUGUUGAGUGUAAAGUCGAAGAGAUUGAAGAGAAAAUUGAGGAAAAAAUCGAAGAAAUCAAGGAAAAAGUUGAGUGUGAAGUAGAAGAGGCUAAAGAGAAAAUUAAGGAAAAAGAAUAUGAGGCCGAGUAUAAGAAAGAAGAGCAUAAGGAAAAACUAAAGGAAGAAGUAGAUGACGCCAAAUACAAAAUAGACGAAUUGAAGGAGAAUGCCGAGUGCAAAGUGGAAGAGAUUAAAGAGAAAACUGAGGAGAAAAUUGAAGAAAUCAAGGAAAAAGUCGAAGAGAAAAUUGAGGAGCACAGAGAGAAGAAAGAAGAAAAGAAAGAAAAGAAAGAACUUGAGAAAAUCAAGAAGCAUAAGGAAGAAACUUAUGCCCCUAUAAAGACCUAUGAGGAAGUUGCCAUAUUUCAAGAGCCAGAUUCAUGUGAACAAAAAGAGAAAAAAGUAUUUGUCGUUGAAAAAGUUGAAGAGGAUUGUGUUGCUUCGCUACCACCUCCAGUAGUGGCGCAUAACGAGUACAUCCCUGUUGAAGUUGAACACAAAGAGAAGAAGGGUAUCUUUG